rnacentral:lncRNA from 10 species
CUGAAAUUGUAUCACUUCACUCCAGCCUGGGUGACAGAGCGAGACCCCGUCUCAAAAAAAAAAAGAAAAGAAAUCACUUGCUCAUGUGUGUAAGAGUUUACAUGAGGGCCUCUGUUCUAUUUCAUUGGUCUAUACGUCUGUCUCUAUGCCAAUACCACUCUAUUUUGAUGAAUGUAGCUUUGCAGUGAGUUUUAAAAUCAGGAAGUAUAAGUCCUCCAGCUUUAUUCCUUGUUCAUAUUUCAACUUUUGUGAUAAUCAUUUCCUUGCUUUUCUUUAUAUUUUUAUCACCCAUGUGUGCACCGCCUACAAGCAGAACCUAACAGGACAGUAAUGGAGGCUAGGGAACUGGUUUGCAGAGUCCCAGCCCCCUUCCAACAUCAGAGAGCAGAGAAAAUAAGAAUGAAUUUGAAGCUGAAAGUCAAUAAGCAAAUAACUGGCAUUAUCUACCCCUUUUUUCUAUGCAGUAGUUACACAUCUAUCCAUCAUAUUUGAAUAAUAACAGCUUCAUCCCUUUGCCUAAUAGAUGCAACUGUCCUUUGCUCAAAUGAAGAUGCUCUGGGGCCCUCCCCCAAAAGCAGAGACGCAAAGUCUCUACAGCAAUGGGAUCCCUUUCCGUGUGAUGUGAAUUCUCCUAGUUCAGCCACAUGUCCUCUAGAGUAUUCUGCAACCUAAAUUAUGAAGGUCAUCACCAACAACAAUCCUCAUAAAAAAUAAGAGAAAAGAAGGAGAGGAAAGUUAACCAAUAUUUAAAGAGUGUAUAUAACAAAACAAGCAAGAGAAAACAUGCCCAUGGCUUCUACAAUCCUUGCUUCUAUAUCUGGUCAGAAGCUGAUAUUAUAACUUUCCUCUUCCAUUACCCUUGAAGGGUUCAAGGGAUUCUCGUGCCUCAGCCUCCAGAGUAGCUGGGAAUACGGGUGCCCACCAACCACCACACCUGGCUAAUUUUUGUAUUUUUUUUAGUAGAGACAGGGUUUCACCAUUUUGGCCAGACUGGUCUCGAACUCCUGACCUCAAGUGAUCCCCACCCACCUUGCC